UGGAGAGGGGGCCUGAGAAAUGGCUACCACAGCUACGGUAGGCAGCAGGUGCGUAAAUUACCCAAUCCUAAUUCAGGAAGGUAGUUACAGGAAAUUUGCAGCAUGAGGUUCGCCUCAGACUCAAACGAACACUUGUAAGUAUAGUGUGUUUAAUUGGGGGGCAAGUUUUGGUGCCAGCAGCCGCGGUAAUUCCAACCCCAAGAGUGUAUCUUAAUGUUGCUGCAGUUAAAAAGCUCGUAGUUGAAUUUCUGACUAACACGCGAUCCUAUGGAGAGCGAGUAGUCAUCGGCUUAGAGAAGCAGUACGACCCUCAAAAGUUGUAUUGUAGACCUAGCAUUUUACUUUGAAGAAAUUAGAGUGUUCCUGGCAGGCUACGCUUGCAUAUAUUAGCAUGGAAUAAUGGAAUAAGACUUUGUCUGUUUUUUUGGUUAACAGAUGAGUAAUGAUUAACAGGGACAGUCGGGGGCAUUCGUACUCAGUGGCUAGAGGUGAAAUUCUUAGAUUCGCUGAAGACGAACUAAUGCGAAAGCAUUUGCCAAGGAUGUUUUCAUUAAUCAAGAACGAAAGUUAGGGGAUCAAAGACGAUUAGAUACCGUCGUAGUCCUAGCCAUAAACUAUACCGACUAGGGAUUGGUGUGAAAAACACAUCAGCACCUAAUGAGAAAUCAAAGUCUUUGGGUUCUGGGGGGAGUAUGGUCGCAAGGCUGAAACUUAAAGGAAUUGACGGAAGGGCACCACCAGGAGUGGAGCCUGCGGCUCAAUUUGAUUCAACACGGGGAAGCUUACCAGGACAAGACCUUAGAAGGAUUGACAGAUUGAAAGCUUUUUCUUGAUUUGAGGGAUGGUGGUGCAUGGCCGUUCUUAGUUCGUGGAGUGAUUUGUCUGCGUUAAUUCCCCUAACGAACGAGACCUUAACCUGCUAAACUAGACGCGCUGACUUCUCAGAGCUGUCUUCUUAGAGGGACUAUGUAGUACAAAUACAUGGAAGUUUGAGGCAAUAACAGGUCCGUUAUGCCC
rnacentral:rRNA from 1 species